UACGGGAGGCAGCAGUGGGGAAUAUUGCACAAUGGGCGCAAGCCUGAUGCAGCCAUGCCGCGUGUAUGAAAAAGGCCUUCGGGCUGUAAAGUACUUUCAGUCGUGAGGAAGGUGUUAAGGUUAAUAACCUUAGCAAUUGACGUUAGCGACAGAAGAAGCACCGGCUAACUCCGUGCCAGCAGCCGCGGUAAUACGGAGGGUGCGAGCGUUAAUCGGAAUUACUGGGCGUAAAGGGCACGCAGGCGGUUAAUUAAGUUGGAUGUGAAAUCCCCGGGCUUAACCUGGGAAUGGCAUUCAAGACUGGUUAGCUAGAGUCUUGUAGAGGGGGGUAGAAUUCCAUGUGUAGCGGUGAAAUGCGUAGAGAUGUGGAGGAAUACCGGUGGCGAAGGCGGCCCCUGGACAAAGGACUGACGCUCAUGUGCGAAAGCGUGGGGAGCAAACAGGGAUUUAGAU
rnacentral:rRNA from 1 species